rnacentral:misc_RNA from 1 species
CCCGAGGGGGGCCCCCCCGAGAUCCGCCAGUGCGUUCGGGUAGUUUGAUAAUGGAGAGGUUAAGCAAUACAUAUAAACGUUGGUUAAAGUGAUGAUCUGGUCAAGAAGAACAGUGCUGGCCCUAUACAGAAGCUUGAUCCGUAAAGGAAACACUCUCCAAUACACUAACAAAAACUUCUACCUCAGAAGAAUUCGACAGGAGUUUGAUACUAAUAAAGAUUUGGCUGAUGAAGUAGCUAAAUCAAAAUGUCUUGAGAAAGGCUACUCAUUUCUCAAAAGAGAUGCUUUGAUGUGAAUAAGACUGAGUAGAUAUAAAUGUUACUGAAGACAUGUGACCAAAGUAUACUUAUACAAAUCACUCCAUACAUUCCGUCCAUCAUAAACAACAAUGACAAAAACUGUUAAAAUGUCAACAAAUAAUGAAAACCAUGAAAACGAAGCUGGGAUUCCAAUGGAACUAAAAUCCCAAGACAAUGGCACUCCUACCAACAGUAACCAUACUAACAGUAACCAUACUAACACAGCCUCAAGUACCAGUGAUGAAUUGAGUGAAGCUGCUUGUAAUGCUUUGGAUAUAGUUGGCAGCAAACAGGAACAAAGUUACGAUAAUUUUCUAAAAUCAUUCACCUACCUUCACAAAGAUGACAUCACUAAACAGUUGAUUAAGACGCAAGAGAAAAUGUUUCACGAGAGCUUAAAUGGGAAUGCUGAAGAACACACCAAUAACACAGAAGAAAAUGAUGUUGAAGUUGAGGAUAUUGAUUCAGAUGAGAUGAUUGAGACUCUUAAUGAAGUGCUACCUGGAGCUCCCUCAACAAGUGGAGUUAUGGUGAGAGCUGAGACUCCAGGGAGCAUUGUAAAACUGGAUAACUUUGUACAAGAUGAAAGUAACCAUGAUAGCGGGGAAGAUGUCCUAGAUAUUGACCUUGGAGAUGACGAGGCUCCUUAUCUUCCAGACUUCAGUGACACAAACACAACACCCCGGGGAGGGACCACAAUCCUCUCCCCCAGGAUCCGAGAUCUCAGCUUGUCACCCCCUCAGUCUGACCCCCAAUUCUAUGAUAGCGCUGGUGUACCCAUAAUUCCUGAAGAACCCCAUAAUGAUCUCAGUGAAAGUAAUGAUGAUGAACUUGAAAUUAAAAUUCCUGAUACAGUUACAAACUACCCUGGUGAGAUUGAGACAGUACAGAUAAGCCCAAGAGCAUGUGAUAUUCAACGUGUGAGACAACUUGACUUUUCCACUCAGAGUUAUAAAGUUGAUCAUAGUGACCCACCACAGUUAAACAAUACUGGGACUGAAAACAGUGAAGUCAUUGAUGUGAAAAAUGAUGUUGAGGCAUUUAGCUUGGAUACAGAUUUUGAUUAUGAUAAUGUUGUUUUGACACCAAAAUACACUGCUGAGGAAAUGGAGAUGAUAUCUCAAGGUUUUGCAAAUAGAAAUGAUAAAGCCAACUGAUAAAACUCCAUGUAAAUGUACCUUUAUGGACAAACAUAUGAUUUUUCUAAAGAGUGUUGUGUUUGUAGAAAGUAGUUCUAUUAUUCUGUGGUUUGUCUUAACUUUGUUUACUGGAAGGCAGCAUGAUUCAGUUAAAAUGAAACUGAAAUUGAAUGCAUUUAUAAUACCCCUUUGCUACAUUUAAACAUUUUUGUAGACAUUUUUUAGAUGAACCAUUUUGUUAACAACUCUUUCAUCUAUGAUUUGCUAUCUACUUUUUGUAUUCUCCAAAAACCACACCCGGUGUUCGGAAAAUAUGAAUGGAGAGGGAGUAGUUGAUUUUUUUGCUAGAAAAUUCAACAAAUUUGCAAGAAAUAUUUUUCCAUGAACUAGUUUACAAAUAAAUUGCUAAAUUAAG